rnacentral:lncRNA from 1 species
CUGAUGCUGUUUUUAAAAACUCUCACCAUUGGCGAGCUCCUUCUCCUUAGCUUCAAGAGUGGGAGCGAAGUUGAGGGGGUUGAAGAUGCCACCGGGGUAGCCCACUUCAUUAGGGGGCAAGCUGUACUGCUUGAAGAUCGGGUCCUGGUUGACGCUCCCCGGGUUCUUUAUGUCCUGCCAUCUCCGGAUCUCGACGUAGUGGAACAGGAUGAACUCGAUCACAAACAGGGUUGAGGAGGAUGCAAAGUACUCAGCCUUCCCAGCGUCGUACCAGGCGGGCACGUUGAUGAUGCCGAUCUUGGUGAAGACUUCCGGGAGCAGCAUCCCUGCAACACCGAGCAUUGCCCACCGGCCGUUGACAAGCUCCGCUUGGACAAACCAUCUC